CUGGGUACCUGUAUUCUGCUAUCUACAAGAUCUGUGAGGAACUGGAUCCAACAUGGAGUACCUGAGACAUGAAAGGACACCAAUAUGUGACACUGGUACCACUGGCCGAGACUUCUGCAAGAGCAGCCACUUGGCUAACUGCUAUAAUCUACUCUACUAUACCUUUCUGGAGCCUUGGAUGUCACACAGCUCUUGGUGUGUGCAAACUGGGUAGCAACCAGCUUCAGGCCCUGGCUGGUGAAUUCCUUGACUUGAAUCUGGGACUCAGGGCUGCAGAAGCAUCUGAAGCUACAGAUCUCCAGAUGCAGAAUGGAGACCCUUCUUGCCGUGUUUAAAGAGCAUUUCAGAAUACACACAGAGACAGGCAACAUCUGGACACAUCUCUAAGCAAUGAAAACCUAAAAUUGCAUGUCUGUAAGUGGGCCUCCAGAGCCCAGUGCAACAAGGAGCCCCACAGCCCCUUCCGGCCACACAGAACUUCCCAGGGUGAGGAGAGGAAGCACAGCAGGGCGCCCUGGUGUCCAGGAGGAGGAAGAAAAGGGUCCCCAAAGGUGGGGCGUCCAGCGGAGGAAUCCUGCGUGGUGCUGACGCGGAGGGAUUGGCCGCAUGGUCACUUCCUGUGAGAUGCUGCGGCCCUGCACCCUCAGUCAGUGAAGAGCCAGUGGAGAAAGAGGACAAGUCACUGGGUUCUCCAGAGAACUGUUCUCUUGCAAGAGAUGCUCUGCGGGUUGCGGCUCCGGGAGAGGACGUAAGGGCUCAUGGACUCCAGCUGAAAAUCAUCCUGCCUGCUGUCCACCUGCCCCCCACCUGGGGAGGGUCUCUCAGUGGCCGCCAUGGUGGACAUGGGGCCGGCUGUGUGCAAGUUGGUGCCGCUCCCAGAGUGCCUGGUCUUUGAGCCUCGCUGGAGGACUUCAUAGACCCACUGGGCUUCAUCAGCACCAUCUGACCUGUUACUGAAAACAAGGACACCUACAAGGGUGUGCAGAUGCCUAAUUGAGAUCUUGAGGAAAAAGUGGAACCUGACAUUCUUCUCACUGAUACCCAAACUUCCCCAGAUGCUGGUGCCAGGAUGAAUCAUUGGCUGAAGAGAACAAGAUGUCUCAAAUCUCAGAGCCCAGGCUGAAGAGAAACGCACAGUCUUGCAAGAGAUGCAGCACAGACAUGUAGAAAAACA